UACGGAGGGUCCAAGCGUUAUCCGGAAUCAUUGGGUUUAAAGGGUCCGUAGGCGGUUUUGUAAGUCAGUGGUGAAAGCCCAUCGCUCAACGGUGGAACGGCCAUUGAUACUGCAAGACUUGAAUUAUUAGGAAGUAACUAGAAUAUGUAGUGUAGCGGUGAAAUGCUUAGAGAUUACAUGGAAUACCAAUUGCGAAGGCAGGUUACUACUAAUGGAUUGACGCUGAUGGACGAGAGCGUGGGGAGCGAACAGG
rnacentral:rRNA from 1 species